rnacentral:rRNA from 1 species
UACGUAGGGAGCAAGCGUUAUCCGGAAUUAUUGGGUGUAAAGGGUGCGUAGACGGGAAAUUAAGUUAGUUGUGAAAUCCCUCGGCUCAACUGAGGAGCUGCAACUAAAACUGAUUUUCUUGAGUGCAGGAGAGGAAAGUGGAAUUCCUAGUGUAGCGGUGAAAUGCGUAGAUAUUAGGAGGAACACCAGUGGCGAAGGCGUCUUUCUGGACUGUAACUGACGUUGAGGCACGAAAGUGUGGGGAGCAAACAGG